rnacentral:rRNA from 1 species
UACGUAGGCAGCAAGCGUUGUUCGGAGUUACUGGGCGUAAAGGGCGUGUAGGCGGUCUGUUAAGUCAUGUGUGACAUCCCUCGGCUCAACCGGGGAACGACGCAUGAAACUGACAAGCUAGAGUACCAAAGAGGGGGGUGGAAUUCCCGGUGUAGCGGUGAAAGGCGUAGAUAUCGGGAGGAACACCGGUGGCGAAGGCGGCCCCCUGGUUGGAUACUGACGCUGAGACGCGAAAGCGUGGGGAGCAAACAGG